rnacentral:rRNA from 1 species
GGUUAAGCGACUAAGCGUACACGGUGGAUGCCCUGGCAGUCAGAGGCGAUGAAGGACGUGCUAAUCUGCGAUAAGCGUCGGUAAGGUGAUAUGAACCGUUAUAACCGGCGAUUUCCGAAUGGGGAAACCCAGUGUGAUUCGUCACACUAUCAUUAACUGAAUCCAUAGGUUAAUGAGGCGAACCGGGGGAACUGAAACAUCUAAGUACCCCGAGGAAAAGAAAUCAACCGAGAUUCCCCCAGUAGCGGCGAGCGAACGGGGAGCAGCCCAGAGCCUGAAUCAGUGUGUGUGUUAGUGGAAGCGUCUGGAAAGGCGCGCGAUACAGGGUGACAGCCCCGUACACAAAAAUGCACAUGCUGUGAGCUCGAUGAGUAGGGCGGGACACGUGGUAUCCUGUCUGAAUAUGGGGGGACCAUCCUCCAAGGCUAAAUACUCCUGACUGACCGAUAGUGAACCAGUACCGUGAGGGAAAGGCGAAAAGAACCCCGGCGAGGGGAGUGAAAAAGAACCUGAAACCGUGUACGUACAAGCAGUGGGAGCACGCUUAGGCGUGUGACUGCGUACCUUUUGUAUAAUGGGUCAGCGACUUAUAUUCUGUAGCAAGGUUAACCGAAUAGGGGAGCCGAAGGGAAACCGAGUCUUAACUGGGCGUUAAGUUGCAGGGUAUAGACCCGAAACCCGGUGAUCUAGCCAUGGGCAGGUUGAAGGUUGGGUAACACUAACUGGAGGACCGAACCGACUAAUGUUGAAAAAUUAGCGGAUGACUUGUGGCUGGGGGUGAAAGGCCAAUCAAACCGGGAGAUAGCUGGUUCUCCCCGAAAGCUAUUUAGGUAGCGCCUCGUGAAUUCAUCUCCGGGGGUAGAGCACUGUUUCGGCAAGGGGGUCAUCCCGACUUACCAACCCGAUGCAAACUGCGAAUACCGGAGAAUGUUAUCACGGGAGACACACGGCGGGUGCUAACGUCCGUCGUGAAGAGGGAAACAACCCAGACCGCCAGCUAAGGUCCCAAAGUCAUGGUUAAGUGGGAAACGAUGUGGGAAGGCCCAGACAGCCAGGAUGUUGGCUUAGAAGCAGCCAUCAUUUAAAGAAAGCGUAAUAGCUCACUGGUCGAGUCGGCCUGCGCGGAAGAUGUAACGGGGCUAAACCAUGCACCGAAGCUGCGGCAGCGACGCUUAUGCGUUGUUGGGUAGGGGAGCGUUCUGUAAGCCUGUGAAGGUGUGCUGUGAGGCAUGCUGGAGGUAUCAGAAGUGCGAAUGCUGACAUAAGUAACGAUAAAGCGGGUGAAAAGCCCGCUCGCCGGAAGACCAAGGGUUCCUGUCCAACGUUAAUCGGGGCAGGGUGAGUCGACCCCUAAGGCGAGGCCGAAAGGCGUAGUCGAUGGGAAACAGGUUAAUAUUCCUGUACUUGGUGUUACUGCGAAGGGGGGACGGAGAAGGCUAUGUUGGCCGGGCGACGGUUGUCCCGGUUUAAGCGUGUAGGCUGGUUUUCCAGGCAAAUCCGGAAAAUCAAGGCUGAGGCGUGAUGACGAGGCACUACGGUGCUGAAGCAACAAAUGCCCUGCUUCCAGGAAAAGCCUCUAAGCAUCAGGUAACAUCAAAUCGUACCCCAAACCGACACAGGUGGUCAGGUAGAGAAUACCAAGGCGCUUGAGAGAACUCGGGUGAAGGAACUAGGCAAAAUGGUGCCGUAACUUCGGGAGAAGGCACGCUGAUAUGUAGGUGAAGUCCCUCGCGGAUGGAGCUGAAAUCAGUCGAAGAUACCAGCUGGCUGCAACUGUUUAUUAAAAACACAGCACUGUGCAAACACGAAAGUGGACGUAUACGGUGUGACGCCUGCCCGGUGCCGGAAGGUUAAUUGAUGGGGUCAGCGCAAGCGAAGCUCUUGAUCGAAGCCCCGGUAAACGGCGGCCGUAACUAUAACGGUCCUAAGGUAGCGAAAUUCCUUGUCGGGUAAGUUCCGACCUGCACGAAUGGCGUAAUGAUGGCCAGGCUGUCUCCACCCGAGACUCAGUGAAAUUGAACUCGCUGUGAAGAUGCAGUGUACCCGCGGCAAGACGGAAAGACCCCGUGAACCUUUACUAUAGCUUGACACUGAACAUUGAGCCUUGAUGUGUAGGAUAGGUGGGAGGCUUAGAAGUGUGGACGCCAGUCUGCAUGGAGCCGACCUUGAAAUACCACCCUUUAAUGUUUGAUGUUCUAACGUUGACCCGUAAUCCGGGUUGCGGACAGUGUCUGGUGGGUAGUUUGACUGGGGCGGUCUCCUCCUAAAGAGUAACGGAGGAGCACGAAGGUUGGCUAAUCCUGGUCGGACAUCAGGAGGUUAGUGCAAUGGCAUAAGCCAGCUUGACUGCGAGCGUGACGGCGCGAGCAGGUGCGAAAGCAGGUCAUAGUGAUCCGGUGGUUCUGAAUGGAAGGGCCAUCGCUCAACGGAUAAAAGGUACUCCGGGGAUAACAGGCUGAUACCGCCCAAGAGUUCAUAUCGACGGCGGUGUUUGGCACCUCGAUGUCGGCUCAUCACAUCCUGGGGCUGAAGUAGGUCCCAAGGGUAUGGCUGUUCGCCAUUUAAAGUGGUACGCGAGCUGGGUUUAGAACGUCGUGAGACAGUUCGGUCCCUAUCUGCCGUGGGCGCUGGAGAACUGAGGGGGCUGCUCCUAGUACGAGAGGACCGGAGUGGACGCAUCACUGGUGUUCGGGUUGUCAUGCCAAUGGCACUGCCCGGUAGCUAAAUGCGGAAGAGAUAAGUGCUGAAAGCAUCUAAGCACGAAACUUGCCCCGAGAUGAGUUCUCCCUGACCCUUUAAGGGUCCUGAAGGAACGUUGAAGACGACGACGUUGAUAGGCCGGGUGUGUAAGCGCAGCGAUGCGUUGAGCUAACCGGUACUAAUGAACCGUGAGGCUUAACCUU